rnacentral:rRNA from 1 species
AUUGAACGCUGGCGGCAGGCCUAACACAUGCAAGUCGAACGAGUGGCGGACGGGUGAGUAAUGUCUGGGAAACUGCCUGAUGGAGGGGGAUAACUACUGGAAACGGUAGCUAAUCCCGCAUACCAUCAGAUUUGCCCAGCUGGGAUUAGCUUGUUGGUGGGGGAACGUCUCACAAAGGCGACGAUCCCUAGCUGUUCUGAGAGGAUGACCAUCCAAACUGGAACGGAGACACGGUCCAGACUCUUACGGUAGGCAGCAGUGGGGAAGAGUGCACGAGGGGCGCAAGGCUGAUGCAGCCAUGCCGCGUGUAUGAAGAAGGCCGUCGGGUUGGAAAGUACUUUCAGCGGGGAGGCGUUACCCGCAGAAGAAGCACCGGCUAACUCCGUGCCAGCCGCCGCGGUAAUAC